rnacentral:lncRNA from 1 species
GGGGCUUUAGGGCCAACGUCCUAAUGGCAAUGCAUGGAUAAAACCAGAGGAUUCCAAAUUUAUGACAAAAAUUGAAAAUGUAACUGUUUUACACUUUAUUCAAAAUGUACACUGACACGACAAAAAUCAAUUAAAAUGAUUAAGAAGAAUCUAUAAUCUACACGAUAAUUGCAUGUUAGAAAUAUUAAUUUAGUUUUAAAUUUAACUUUUAGGACUAUUGUUAAAUAAAUGUAUUUCGCGUGAACUGUAAACACAUCGUUUAGUACUCUUUAAUAUGACUUUUAAUUACGUUGUCACCACAAUAACUGAUAAAUUUUAUAAUCAAUAGUAAAAACGUCCCUUUAAGAAGAUCUUAAUCAGUCUGUUCUUGAAUUUCAUUUUGCACUUCGAAUCAGUAACCUUUAUCUCCCCAUUAUCAAAUGAACAAAAAGAAAGAGAUACCGUUUACUUCACUGGUUUUUUUUUACAAAAUUUCCUUCGCGUCAUUAGGUGGAAGUACUUGUUAUGUUGUAGUUUUGUGUUAUCACACUGUAUUAUCGUUAGAUUUAGAUUACAUUGUUAUUUAAUUUUGAUGAUAUUCAGAGAUGCGACUACUGAUAAAAAUAUUCUUAUUCAAGUAAAUAAUACAGGAAUCACAUUUGAUAAACUUAGCUAUAUUUUGCAAAAGCUCUCAGCAUUUCAGACUUUUAUGCUUUUUCCUGUGUUGCUAAUUCAAAGUUAUAUAUAUACCUAACAUUGAAAUUUCAUGCAGAGCUGUGGUUAAUAUACAUUUAUAUAUGUACACAGCCAUGUAUCACCAUCACUGCUGGUGAUCCGAUUGAUCAAUCUGUUGUAGAGUUGUCACUGGUUCAGACGUACUUAUAAAUAUAAUUAUUUCUGUGACUGUAUCUUACAUUAAUUUGUAGGAUCCUUUGCUAUAGAUAAUUUUGCUGAUCUGUAAAAAGAACAUCUCCAUGCCUUAUAUAUCAUGGACUGUAGUACGACGUCAUUUAAAAUUUUCUAAAUUGCCUGAAAAUUUAUUCAUUAAACAAAUUUACAAAAGAACAAAAUUUGUAAUGGAAAUUUUAGAAAAUCUAAAUUCAAAACAGUAAAGUGAAACAUAUGAAGUAGAGAAAAAAAUCGUUUUUAAUUGACUGAUUACUGUUUUUUCUUUGCUUCAGUCGCAAAAAUGUCAUGGCUACAAUUCCUUAUGGCUAUUUCUACAGUGGAUUGACCUGAAUAAAGGACAAAAGUUUAGACUGCAGCUUGCAAUUGAAAUGACGGUAUUUAGGACAGGAACAGAAAAUCCCCCCUGCAGAACAGCCAGAAACUGCAGAAUUCCCAUAGAUUACCAAUUCAUGGGCAGGAAUCCAACAUAUUAUGUCAAAAACUGUAUUUUACCCCUAUGUUCCAUUUAUAGACAUGUUGACUAUGUUGUUUGGCAAUCGUGGAUUAACAGGAAAGAUUUUUUAAACAAGAUACUCUAAUGAUGAUUGUGGCGAAGUUUAGUUGAAUUUGACUGAGUAGUUUCAUAGGAGAACAUGUUUGUGAAAGUAAACAGACGAAGACGGAAGACAGCAGCCAAGUAGUGAGAAAAGCUCACUUGGCCCCUUUGGCAAAGAGAGCUACAAAUUGACAAAGAAAAGAAAAAUAAUAGUGCUUUGACAGGAGCGUCU